GGCGGCAUAGCCAAGCGGUAAGGCAGAGGUCUGCAAAACCUUUAUCACCGGUUCAAUUCCGGUUGCCGCCUCCA
rnacentral:tRNA from 1 species